rnacentral:ncRNA from 2 species
CACGUCUCACGUAACUGGCGAAACACCGUGCGCCCGCAUCCUGAAGCGGCCACGGCAAAGGUGGAGACCCACCGGGGAACCUGAGACGCCAACUCGCCGUUCGCCUGGGCAGCCACA